rnacentral:rRNA from 1 species
AUUGAACGCUGGCGGCGGGCCUAACACAUGCAAGUCGAACGAGUGGCGGACGGGUGAGUAAUGUCUGGGAAACUGCCUGAUGGAGGGGGAUCACUACUGGAAACGGUAGCUAAUAACGCAUACCAUCGGAUUUGCCUAGAUGGGAUGGGCGAGUGGGCGGGGUAAAGGCUCACCUAGGCGACAAUCCCUAGCUGGUCUGAGAGGAGGACCAGCCACACUGGAACGGGGCCACGGUCCAGACCCCUACGGGAGGCAGCAGUGGGGAAUAUCGCACAAUGGGCGAAAGCCUGAUGCAGCAAUGCGGCGUGUAUGAAGAGGGCCUUCGGGUUGUAAAGUCCUUUCAGCGGGGAGGCGGUACCCGAAGAAGAAGCACCGGCUAACUACGUGCCAGCAGCCGCGGUAAUAC